GAUGAACGCUGGCGGCGUGCCUAAUACAUGCAAGUCGAGCGAACGGACGAGAAGCUUGCUUCUCUGAUGUUAGCGGCGGACGGGUGAGUAACACGUGGAUAACCUACCUAUAAGACUGGGAUAACUUCGGGAAACCGGAGCUAAUACCGGAUAAUAUUUUGAACCGCAUGGUUCAAAAGUGAAAGACGGUCUUGCUGUCACUUAUAGAUGGAUCCGCGCUGCAUUAGCUAGUUGGUAAGGUAACGGCUUACCAAGGCAACGAUGCAUAGCCGACCUGAGAUGGUGAUCGGCCACACUGGAACUGAGACACGGUCCAGACUCCUACGGGAGGCAGCAGUAGGGAAUCUUCCGCAAUGGGCGAAAGCCUGACGGAGCAACGCCGCGUGAGUGAUGAAGGUCUUCGGAUCGUAAAACUCUGUUAUUAGGGAAGAACAUAUGUGUAAGUAACUGUGCACAUCUUGACGGUACCUAAUCAGAAAGCCACGGCUAACUACGU
rnacentral:rRNA from 1 species